rnacentral:lncRNA from 1 species
GCCCCAAUUAUUUCUCUCCAGAAACUGUCCCUCUCCACUCCAAAUUUGCGAAUUUAAACUCAAGGUUAAUACCACAGAAGUUUCCGGUCUAUUCAGCAGGCUCAAGAGUCACAUUGGGCAUGAAGACACAAACAUGCAGACCUAACCUGAUAGUGGCCAGUGUGUGUUAAUCAUUAGAUGAUAAGAUUUAGUAACUGAUGACUACUCUUGUACUGUCCUUUAGACACAGGAGUCUGGGUUCACAAAACAUGGUUAUUUGUUUGUUCAAGAAAUGAGUAGAGAACAUGCGUCCAGUCAAUGUCCAACACCAGAUAAAAACCACUUCUAAGCACAAGGAUAGCUGUCCUAGCAUCAACAUAAAGUUGGGGGAGGGGAGCAGAUAUGACCUAGUACUGUGACAUUUUGUAAGCUGUGAGGGCCAUUAUGACUAUCUCACAGGGAUUGCAAAGCAUAACCAUAGCGUAUCCAUAAUUCCAUCAUUGAAUAGAAUUUCAAAGUUGAUGUCAUAUUUGCAAAAAUGAACUUCAUAUACCUUGCCAUCCGUUUUACCCCUAGUGAUGCAAGGUAAUGAAAUUCACAUUGACAUUAAUUAUAUGAGGACCACAUCUCCUAAAAAAAAAAAAAAAAAAGAUUGUGAGAAUUUGUUAACAAAAAAUAAAUUUCAUAUGAGGAAGACUGUUCGUUAAGCCUCGACUGAAGCCCUUCUGUUCCAAUGUCAUUUAACAAGGGGUGAUUUGCAUCCUCAUUGAGGUAAAAGAUGUCUUAAAACAUUUUCAUAUCAUCAUAUGCCCCCUCUACAAUUCUAAGAAUGGAAAUAACAUAGUUUUUGAAAAAACUUAAAAAGUACAAAACAGAAAAAAUAUUAGAAAGGCAUGCAACUAAAGUAGAU